UUGUUCACAAUACAUUAAACAUUUAUCAGUUUAUUUUAUUUGCAUCAUCAAAAAUGACUAAAAUGGUUCUUACAAUUUUUCUGGUGUUCUACGUUUUUGGAAUGGUGAUGGAGAAUACGCAAGGACGUGUAUGUCAUGCGACUCAUGCCUAUCAUGAAGGAGAUGGUUGUAAACCCGAGGACUGCAAUGGUUGUAAACCCGAAGACUGCAACCGAGUUUGUCAUCAAAAGUGGAAAGGAACAGGAUCGUGUGAACCACCAAAAGGCAAACCAUUGACCAGGGGCGCCUGCUACUGUACUUAUAAUUGUUAAAAUUGUGUUUUUCUUUAUCAUCCUUAAGCAAUCACCAUAUAUAUAACUUAAUAAAAUAAUGGGUUGAAGAAAAAAA